ACUGGAACCGGGAGAGGUAAGAGGUACUACAGGGGUAGGAGUGAAAUCUUGUAAUCCCUGUGGGACCACCUGUGGCGAAGGCGUCUUACCAGAACGGGUUCGACGGUGAGGGACGAAAGCUGGGGGCACGAACCGGAUUAGAUACCCGGGUAGUCCCAGCCGUAAACGAUGCUCGCUAGGUGUCAGGCAUGGCGCGACCGUGUCUGGUGCCGCAGGGAAGCCGUGAAGCGAGCCACCUGGGAAGUACGGCCGCAAGGCUGAAACUUAAAGGAAUUGGCGGGGGAGCACAACAACGGGUGGAGCCCUGCGGUUUAAUUGGACUCAACGCCGGACAACUCACCGGGGGCGACAGCAAUAUGUAGGCCAAGCUGAAGACUUUGCCUGAAUCGCUGAGAGGAGGUGCAUGG
rnacentral:rRNA from 1 species